UAGUCCACGCCGUAAACGAUGGACACUUGGUGUUGGCGGUUUUGACCCCGUCAGUGCCGGAGCUAACGCGUUAAGUGUCCCGCCUGGGGAGUACGGUCGCAAGAUUAAAACUCAAAGAAAUUGACGGGGGCCCGCACAAGCGGUGGAGCAUGUGGUUUAAUUCGAUGCAACGCGAAAACCUUACCUGGCCUUGACAUGUAGGGGACAGCUACCAGAGAUGGUGCUUUCUUCGGACCCCUAUGCAGGUGCUGCAUGGCUGUCGUCAGCUCGUGUCGUGAGAUGUUGGGUUAAGUCCCGCAACGAGCGCAACCCUUGUUGUUAGUUGCCAGCAUUAAGUUGGGCACUCUAACGAGACUGCCGUCCAUAAGACGGAGGAAGGUGGGGAUGACGUCAAGUCCUCAUGGCCCUUAUGGCCAGGGGCUACACACGUGCUACAAUGGAAGAUACAGUGAGUAGCGAGACCGCGA
rnacentral:rRNA from 1 species